UCUCUCUCUCUCUCUCUCUCUCUCUCUCUCUCUCUCUCUCCAUUAAGAAGAUCUGCUUAUUCCAUUUUCAUGUUUACUGGGAAGGUAAAGCGUGCAACACAGUUCUAAAACUCAAAUACAAAGUAACAAAGAAAUGUACAAAUCUGCACUGUUUUCGAAUGAAUACACCUCAACUAUAGUGCGUUGACACAUUUAGGGUAGUUGUUUCUUUCGUAUCCCAAUUUCAAUUGAAAAUCCUGCUGUUCCUUUAGUGUUCAGUUUUAAAACUACUAUGGUACAAAGACUAAUUAAUGUAUUAAUAGAAAUUACAUUUGGAUGGUAGUUACUUUAUCCCACUUUGUUAGUUAAAAUUUUUAAAAGUGUUUGAGUGUUCAUGAGUCUACAUCAGUGUAUACAUGUAUUUGCAAUAAUUCUUGCUAUAUCACAUUUUCAAACGGUUUUCUUUUUUUUACUGUUAGUAUGUAAAAUUGUGCGUUUUCAGCAGCUCAAAUUCCGUUUAUUCGAGAAUGUCCAGAAAAUAAAUUAGCGUAACAGUGGGUCUGAAACCCGGAUUAGGCCAAACGUGCCUCCUAGGAACACACACGGAGAUUCUCCCAGAUAUCGCCACAUAACAGAAACAACAACUGACUUGAAUGAAUGAAUCCUCCAUUGUGUUUUGAACAGAUUUCAGCACUAAUUUAGGUUUUACGUACGGCAUCCCUUACCCUCCCCCAGUGUUACCUCACAGACUUACGGUCGACUUCAAGUUCGGGGAGGGGGACAGGCUACCCACCACGCAAGUCAGAAAGAAGAAUGUACAACAAACGCCACGCAAGCCACUGGAUGAAGUUUCACAAAUGUCGCUUUCAUGGCAAGGAGUUUUCAAAGACUUUACAGACAACGUUACGGAAAGCAAUAUAACGUGAUAAGUAGGAAAAACAGGCAGUGCAUGCAUACUGCACACGGAUAAAGUAACUCAACAUCAUAUCAACACACGCCACAAAGAAAGAUUUUCUGUACAUAUGUACAUACAAUACAUAAUGCAAAAUUAUAUUUUGCUAGGGAUAUAAAAUUGGCAGGAGUAAAAUACUUUCUUAUUUUUCUGAGUGUUAUUUGUAGGUCCACAUUGAGUUGAGUGAAAUUCAUUAAAAAAGUUAAAAUAACAUUUGCUAUUACAGUUCCAACGUAAUACAUUUUAACUACAUAACUACAGUAUAAUUUACACAAUGAUACUGUAAUAACAUUAUAAUAACGUAAUAAUGAACUUAAUGGAAUUAAUAAAAAUAAU